CCCGAUACAAAUAUGAAGCAUCUAUUUUUAAUUUUGUUCAGCCACUAAAGUGAAAUUAGGUUAAGCGCCUUUUCUUGUUCAACUGCUUCCAUUUGUAUGGUUUGCCGCCUUUGUAUUUCAUUUGUUUGUACUGCCCAUUAAACUGAAGCUGCUUCAACAAUUUUGUUCAGCCACGAAUGUGCGGCCAUUUCCUUCCUCCUUCAACAAUUUUGUAUUUCAUUUUUUUGUAGUGAAAUUAGGUUCAAGCUGCUUAAUUCCUUCCAGCUGCCACGGUAUUGUUUCAUCUCUGCCUACUCUAGAGCUUGCAAAACAUAAUGUUGCUAUCAAUGGAUUAAAUGCUGAGGCAAUAUCCUUCUUAAAACAAGAUGCAACCAACUUCAUGAAGAAUGCAGCUGCUCGAAAUGAGACUUGGGAUAUUGUCAUCUUGGAUCCUCCUAAAUUGGCUCCGCUCAAGCAGUUUCACUUUGCUGUUGUUCAGGUCAGUCUUUCAGUGAUCCUAACGGCUACUGGGGUAAUUAUCGCAGCACUUGUAGAUUUUUCCUUCCGACUUUUUUGGUUACAGCUUGGCACUGACUUCUGUCUUUUUUCAUGUAAUCUCUUUUGUUUUUCUUUCUAAAUGCUAUUUAGGAAUUAAGUGACACCUUGGCACUGAUUCGUUGUUGCUUCUCUGUUGUGCAAUGUUGUUGAUGACCCAAGCUUAGUACAUUUAGGAAUUAAGUGUAGAUAAGGGUUAUUAAGGAUCAAUAACUCAAGUUCAGUACAUUUAGGAAUUAAGUGAUUAGUACUUUUGUCUCCGAUAUGGAGUAUCAAGAGUUAUUGAUUUUACUUUCUCUUAGUUCAUCACCCGUCUUCAACCGUCAUUAUUGUUUUUACUUGUACUUUUAAAUUACAUGCUUGCUUUUUGAGAACUCUUUUAUUUUGUUCAUGGUUUUCAAGGUGCUUAAAAGGUUCCAAACAACUUGAGAUCACAUACAUACUUGCUCCUGGUGUAUACAUCUGAAAUGUGAUUUGCAACAAGUGUAUGAUUUAAGAUCAAGAACAUAUAGCCAAGAUAAAAUAGAUGAGGUUCGUGAGCAAUGGGCAAAGUUCUUUAGAUUGAAUGUUUUGUUAAACUAAAUGUAAAUUUGUACAAGCAAUAGUAGUACUACUAUUCGAUCGUAUGUGAUCAUAUAUAUAAAAAUAGUGAUGGAUGUUAUGUAAAAGAAUAUUUUUGAAUUGAUGUACGUAUUAUUUAAUCGUAUAUUAUAUAUUGUAGACUCAAAUGACCUCUAUAAAUAUAUUAUAUU